rnacentral:rRNA from 1 species
UACGGGGGGGGGCAAGCGUUGUUCGGAAUUACUGGGCGUAAAGGGCUCGUAGGCGGCCAACUAAGUCCGACGUGAAAUCCCCAAGCUUAACUUGGGAACUGCGUCGGAUACUGGAUGGCUUGAAUUCGGGAGAGGGAUGCAGAAUUCCAGGUGUAGCGGUGAAAUGCGUAGAUAUCUGGAGGAAUACCGGUGGCGAAGGCGGCAUCCUGGACCGACAUUGACGCUGAUGAGCGAAAGCUAGGGGAGCAAACGGG